rnacentral:rRNA from 1 species
GAUGAACGCUAGCUACAGGCUUAACACAUGCAAGUCGCGGGGCAGCAUGGGGGUUGCUUGCAACCCCUGAUGGCGACCGGCGCACGGGUGAGUAACGCGUAUCCAACCUGCCCUUCACCACGGGAUAACCCGGCGAAAGUCGGACUAAUACCGUAUGUCGUCCAUUGACGGCAUCCGAUUUGGACGAAAGGCUUGGCGGGGAAGGGAUGGGGAUGCGUCCGAUUAGCUUGAUGGCGGGGUGACGGCCCACCGUGGCUACGAUCGGGAGGGGUUCUGAGGGGAAGGUCCCCCACAGGGGAACUGAGACGCGGUCCAGACUCCUACGGGAGGGAGGAGUGAGGAAUAUUGGUCAAGGGGCGUAAGCCUGAACCAGCCAAGUAGCGUGCAGGAGGGCGGCCCUAUGGGUUGUAAACUGCUUUUAGGCGGGGAGAAAGUGGCCGACGUGUGGGGUGUUGCAGGUACCGCAUGAAUAAGGACCGGCUAAUUCCGUG